rnacentral:rRNA from 1 species
GUACACUCCUGCGGGAGGCAGCAGUAGGGAAUCUUCGGCAAUGGGGGCAACCCUGACCGAGCAACGCCGCGUGAGUGAAGAAGGUUUUCGGAUCGUAAAGCUCUGUUGUAAGUCAAGAACGAGUGUGAGAGUGGAAAGUUCACACUGUGACGGUAGCUUACCAGAAAGGGACGGCUAACUACGUGCCAGCAGCCGCGGUAAUACGUAGGUCCCGAGCGUUGUCCGGAUUUAUUGGGCGUAAAGCGAGCGCAGGCGGUUUGAUAAGUCUGAAGUUAAAGGCUGUGGCUCAACCAUAGUUCGCUUUGGAAACUGUCAAACUUGAGUGCAGAAGGGGAGAGUGGAAUUCCAUGUGUAGCGGUGAAAUGCGUAGAUAUAUGGAGGAACACCGGUGGCGAAAGCGGCUCUCUGGUCUGUAACUGACGCUGAGGCUCGAAAGCGUGGGGAGCGAACAGGAUUAGAUACUCCGGUAGUCCCAU